GAGUUUGAUCAUGGCUCAGAUUGAACGCUGGCGGCAGGCCUAACACAUGCAAGUCGAGCGAGAAAGCACCUCGGUGCGAGUAGAGCGGCGGACGGGUGAGUAAUGCUUGGGAAUCUGCCCAGUAGUGGGGGGUAACGUGUGGAAACGCACGCUAAUACCGCGUACGUCCUACGGGAGAAAGCAGGGGAUCAUUAGACCUUGCGCUAUUGGAUGAGCCCAAGUCAGAUUAGCUAGUUGGUGAGGUAAAGGCUCACCAAGGCGACGAUCUGUAGCUGGUCUGAGAGGAUGAUCAGCCACACUGGGACUGAGACACGGCCCAGACUCCUACGGGAGGCAGCAGUGGGGAAUAUUGCACAAUGGGCGAAAGCCUGAUGCAGCCGUGCCGCGUGUGUGAAGAAGGCUCUAGGGUUGUAAAGCACUUUCAGUAGGGAGGAAAAGCUUAAAGUUAAUACCUUUAGGCCGUGACGUUACCUACAGAAGAAGCACCGGCAAACUCCGUGCCAGCAGCCGCGGUAAUACGGAGGGUGCGAGCGUUAAUCGGAAUUACUGGGCGUAAAGCGCGCGUAGGUGGUUUAAUAAGCUAGCUGUGAAAGCCCCGGGCUUAACCUGGGAACUGCAGUUAGAACUGUUUGACUAGAGUAUAAUAGAGGGUGGCGGAAUUUCCUGUGUAGCGGUGAAAUGCGUAGAUAUAGGAAGGAACAUCAGUGGCGAAGGCGGCCACCUGGAUUAAUACUGACACUGAGGUGCGAAAGCGUGGGGUGCAAACAGGAUUAGAUACCCUGGUAGUCCACGCCGUAAACGAUGUCUACUAGCCGUUGGAAGACUUGAUCUUUUAGUGGCGCAGUUAACGCGAUAAGUAGACCGCCUGGGGAGUACGGCCGCAAGGUUAAAACUCAAAUGAAUUGACGGGGGCCCGCACAAGCGGUGGAGCAUGUGGUUUAAUUCGACGCAACGCGAAGAACCUUACCAGGUCUUGACAUCCUGCGAACUUUCUAGAGAUAGAUUGGUGCCUUCGGGAACGCAGUGACAGGUGCUGCAUGGCUGUCGUCAGCUCGUGUCGUGAGAUGUUGGGUUAAGUCCCGUAACGAGCGCAACCCUUGUCCUUAGUUGCCAGCACGUAAUGGUGGGAACUCUAAGGAGACUGCCGGUGACAAACCGGAGGAAGGUGGGGACGACGUCAAGUCAUCAUGGCCCUUACGACCUGGGCUACACACGUGCUACAAUGGCCAGUACAGAGGGUUGCAAACCUGCGAAGGGGAGCUAAUCUCACAAAGCUGGUCGUAGUCCGGAUCGCAGUCUGCAACUCGACUGCGUGAAGUUGGAAUCGCUAGUAAUCGUGAAUCAGAAUGUCACGGUGAAUACGUUCCCGGGCCUUGUACACACCGCCCGUCACACCAUGGGAGUGGGUUGCAAAAGAAGUAGCUAGGCUAACUUUCGAGAGGCCGGUUACCACUUUGUGAUUCAUGACUGGGGUGAAGUCGUAACAAGGUAACC
rnacentral:rRNA from 1 species